rnacentral:rRNA from 1 species
UACGUAGGGUGCGAGCGUUGUCCGGAAUUAUUGGGCGUAAAGAGCUCGUAGGCGGUUUGUUGCGUCGGCCGUGAAAACCUGCAGCUUAACUGUGGGCCUGCGGCCGAUACGGGCAGACUUGAGUUCGGUAGGGGAGACUGGAAUUCCUGGUGUAGCGGUGAAAUGCGCAGAUAUCGGGAGGAACACCAAUGGCGAAGGCAGCUCGCUGGGACGUUACUGACGCUGAGACGCGAAAGCGUGGGGAGCAAACAGG